rnacentral:rRNA from 1 species
GCUCAGAACGAACGCUGGCGGCAUGCCUAACACAUGCAAGUCGAACGAAAUCCUUCGGGGUUUAGUGGCGCACGGGUGCGUAACGCGUGGGAAUCUGCCCUUGGGUUCGGGAUAACAGUUGGAAACGACUGCUAAUACCGGAUGAUGGCUUCGGCCCAAAGAUUUAUCGCCCAGGGAUGAGCCCGCGUAGGAUUAGCUAGUUGGUGGGGUAAAGGCCUACCAAGGCGACGAUCCUUAGCUGGUCUGAGAGGAUGAUCAGCCACACUGGGACUGAGACACGGCCCAGACUCCUACGGGAGGCAGCAGUGGGGAAUAUUGGACAAUGGGCGAAAGCCUGAUCCAGCAAUGCCGCGUGAGUGAUGAAGGCCUUAGGGUUGUAAAGCUCUUUUACCCGGGAAGAUAGUG